AGACCGGUUUAUUGGUCGUGCUUUUGUACGUACUGGUAUAAUCGGUUUCUCCUUUCUGACGAACUAUAAUGCCAUUAAUUUGGUGUUAUGGGGAAUCAGGACUGUUACUUUGAAAAAAUUAGAGUGUUUAAAGCAGGCUCACGCUUGAAUACAUUAGCAUGGAAUAACGGAAUAGGACGUUUGAUUCUAUUUUGUUGGUUUCUAGGAUCGACGUA
rnacentral:rRNA from 1 species